GCAGAACAUCGGAUUCCAGACCCGAAAAUCAUAGAUUCAAGUCCUGUAUCGU
rnacentral:tRNA from 1 species